rnacentral:rRNA from 1 species
CUACAAGUACCGUGAGGGAAAGUUGCAAAGCACUUUGAAGAGAGAGUUAAAGAGGACGUGAAACCGGUAGGAUGGAAACGGAUAGAGCUAGCGAAGCCGUUUGCAUUCAAUCGAAAGUUGUGGUGACAAGCCUUUCAGUGUGUUAAUCCUUCGGGUGGCCUUGUUCACUGCAGCUGAGGUGUUUUUGUAAAUGGCUGCGCUGAGACUUGUGGGACUUUGAUUGAACAUUUGAAUAGAGGCUUCCCUCUGGGUUGAACCUCGUCAUUUUGACAAUCAUUCGUCCUGCUCGUAUGGGCUUGGCCUACGAGUCUGGGUGUUGUGGUUGCUUUUCGUUUCGGRUUCACAUGUGAAUACUGGGUCGGAAGGUAGCUAUUGCGCCCAGAUUCACUUGCCCACUCUCAGUGUAGAAGCUGGUCACCUAUCCGACCCGUCUUGAAACACGGACCAAGGAGUUUAGCGUAUACGCGAGCCAUUGGGYGUUGAAAACCCAAAGRCACAAUGAAAGUGAAGGCUCAGCAGCUGAGCUUACAUGUGAGUGGAAAGUCUUYGGACGACCACGCAACAUGGUCCCGUUCUGAUUGCUUGCAAUGGAGCGGAGAUAGAGCGUAUGCGCUGAGACCCGAAAGAUGGUGAACUAUUCCUGA